AUGAAGUUGACGGCGCUCGGAUCUAGCGGACAUGGGGAAGAACCCCGGCCGACGUGCCACAAAGUCUCGGCCUCGUCGCUUGCGGCGGUCCAGUUCAUCGGCUCGAAAAGCAUCCUUGUAUGCAAAGGUGCUCCUCUAGAUCUUGGUACGAAUGCAGUUCCUCUCUUUCUUCGACGUUGCCUCAGCGGCGGUGGAGGACGAUGGUGGGCGAUGUUUCGACGUGGCACAAGAUUCUGUCAAAGUGAAAUUCUAGUUUUACUUCUUAUGAAGUCUUUGAUGCAAUAUUGCAUGACAUCUAGGCAUGACUACAUAUGUACUCUUUAUAAUAUGUUUGUCCAAUGA
rnacentral:rRNA from 1 species